AACGCUGGCGGCGUGCCUAAUACAUGCAAGUCGAACGGCUUUUCUAUGGAAGCUUGCUUCCACUGAGAAGAUAGUGGCGAACGGGUGAGUAACACGUGGGUAACCUGCCCAUAAGAGGGGGGAUAACAUCCGGAAACGGGUGCUAAUACCGCAUAGUUUUCUUGAUCGCAUGAUCGGGAAAGGAAAGACGGCCUUUGUGCUGUCGCUUAUGGAUGGACCCGCGGCGUAUUAGUUAGUUGGUGAGGUAACGGCUCACCAAGACGAUGAUACGUAGCCGACCUGAGAGGGUGAUCGGCCACAUUGGGACUGAGACACGGCCCAAACUCCUACGGGAGGCAGCAGUAGGGAAUCUUCCGCAAUGGACGAAAGUCUGACGGAGCAACGCCGCGUGAGUGAAGAAGGUUUUUCCGGAUCGUAAAACUCUGUUGUCAGAGAAGAACAAGUUGGAGAGUAACUGCUCCAGCCUUGACGGUAUCUGACCAGAAAGCCACGGCUAACUACGUGCCAGCCGCUGC
rnacentral:rRNA from 1 species